UGUAGGGCAGUGACGGUAGUGCAGGAAUAAGCAUCGGCUAACUCCGUGCCAGCAGUCGCGGUAAUACGGAGGAUGCGAGCGUUAUCCGGAUUCAUUGGGUUUAAAGGGUGCGUAGCGGCUUCUUAAGUCAGUGGUGAAAUCCUGCGGCUCAACCGUAGAACUGCCAUUGAAACUGGGGGGCUUGAAUACAGAUGAAGUAGGCGGAAUGAGUAGUGUACCGGUGAAAUGCAUAGAUAUUACUCAGAACACCGAUUGCGUAGGCAGCUUACUAAACUGAUAUUGACGCUGAGGCACGAAAGCGUGGGGAGCGAACAGGAUUAGAUACCCUGGUAGUCCACGCAGUAAACGAUGUUCACUCGCUGUUUGCGAUAUACAGUAAGCGGCUUAGCGAAAGCAUUAAGUGAACCACCUGGGGAGUACGUCGGCAACGGUGAAACUCAAAGGAAUUGACGGGGGCCCGCACAAGCGGAGGAACAUGUGGUUUAAUUCGAUGAUACGCGAGGAACCUUACCUGGGCUUAAAUGUAGGUUGCAUGAGGUGGAAACACCCUUCCCUUCGGGGCUACCUACAAGGUGCUGCAUGGUUGUCGUCAGCUCGUGCCGUGAGGUGUCGGGUUAAGUCCCAUAACGAGCGCAACCCUUACCGUUAGUUGCCAUCAGGUCAAGCUGGGAACUCUAACGGGACUGCCACCGUAAGGUGAGAGGAAGGUGGGGAUGACGUCAAAUCAGCACGGCCCUUAUGUCCAGGGCUACACACGUGUUACAAUGGCCGGUACAGAAGGCAGCUACACCGCGAGGUGGUGCUAAUCCUAAAAGCCGGUCCCAGUUCGGAUCGUAGUCUGCAACCCGACUACGUGAAGUUGGAUUCGCUAGUAAUCGCGCAUCAGCCAUGGCGCGGUGAAUAAGUUCCCGGGCCUUGUACACACCGCCCGUCAAACCAUGGAAGCUGGGGGGACCUGAAGUCUGUCACCGAAAGGAGCGGCCUAG
rnacentral:rRNA from 1 species